rnacentral:rRNA from 1 species
UACGUAGGCAGCGAGCGUUGUUCGGAGUUACUGGGCGUAAAGAGUGCGUAGGCGGUUUUCUAAGUUUGGUGUGAAAUCUCCCGGCUUAACUGGGAGGGUGCGCCGAAAACUGGAAGGCUUGAGUAUGGGAGAGGCAAUCGGAAUUCUUGGUGUAGCGGUGAAAUGGCGUAGAUAUCAAGAGGAACACCAGUGGCGAAAGGCGGCUCACUGGCCCGGUGACUGGACGCUGAGGUGCGAAAGCGUGGGGAGCAAACAGG